UCAAAAAAUUAAUUGAUCAAAGCGAACUUUGAUCAACUCAAUCAAUUGGGAUAAAAUUAGUUGAUAAAUCAAAGCAUAAGGAGAUAAUGACAUAAGACUCUAGGGAUCAGUCAAAUUAAACUAAUCUUAAUUCCAAAGAUUAACCUAGAACUAUGGGAACAUGUCAUGUUAUUUGUUAGCAAUUAACUACAAGGUUAAUCCUAAAAGAUCAAUCAUUAUAACAAAUCAACCAACAUGAUUAAAAAUUCUAUUAAUUCUAUCAAUUUCAUCAUGUGAAAACGAACUUCGUCGCGCUGGAAUUCGCCACGGGAGGCGGCAGAGACUUAAACCACCAAAACCAUACACCAUCCCCUUCGUAUUCACGUCCUUUAUCCAGAUUCGUCAUCAAUUUUUCACAAUUCCUAAUCCUACCUCUAAACCUAAAUGACUCGUGUAUGAACCCUAAUUAACAAAAACUCAAAUUAAACCUCAACCCCAUGGAAUCAAAGCCCAAUUGGUUGGGGCUUUGAUUCCCCAAGCCUCUAGCUACAUAAUGGUAACAAUUUUGAAGCAAAAUGGUGAAAAAAUCAACCUACUCGCCGGAGACUCUGAAGAUGACGACGACGAUGAAGCUGAAAUCACAUGGCUGACUUAGUGAUGUGCAAAGUUGGUUUAUGCUUGGAAUAUGGAUCAUGUUCUCAAGGCAUUUGGAACAAGGCAUGGCUUGGAGACAUCAUGGCUAUUUGAUAGUAAAUGAAGUUUGGCCACGAAGUUGAAAGGGAGGAUGAAAGCAUGAAGAAACAAAGUAGAAACUAGGAUUAGGGCUAGUGAUUAGAUAAGUUGACUUUGGUCAACUGGUUGACCAAAAAGUCAACAGUUGACCAUACUCAACUAUAGGUCAAAAUCCAUUUUCUGUAAUUUUGUAUGAAUAAAAUGAAAGUUUUUGGAUGAGAAAGGUUCUUAUGAUUUAUGAAAUAAUUCUUAUUUUCAAAAUGCAAA